GACGAAGGAUGCAAGCGUUAUCCGGAUUCAUUGGGUUUAAAGGGUGCGUAGGUGGGCAGUUAAGUCAGUGGUGAAAUCUCCGAGCUUAACUCGGAAACUGCCAUUGAUACUAUCUGUCUUGAAUAUCCUGGAGGUGAGCGGAAUAUGUCAUGUAGCGGUGAAAUGCUUAGAUAUGACAUAGAACACCAAUUGCGAAGGCAGCUCACUACGGGAUUAUUGACACUGAGGCACGAAAGCGUGGGGAUCAAACAGG
rnacentral:rRNA from 1 species